ACGGAGGGGGCUAGCGUUGUUCGGAAUCACUGGGCGUAAAGCGCGCGUAGGCGGAUUAAUUAGUCAGUGGUGAAAGCCCGAGGCUCAACCUCGGAAUUGCCACCGAAACUGUUAAUCUAGAGUUCGAGAGAGGUGAGUGGAAUUCCUAGUGUAGAGGUGAAAUUCGUAGAUAUUAGGAGGAACACCAGUGGCGAAGGCGGCUCACUGGCUCGAUACUGACGCUGAGGUGCGAAAGCGUGGGGAGCAAACAGG
rnacentral:rRNA from 1 species